UCCACCGUCCACGGUGGGCUCUGAGAUGCAGGCCGACUAGGUACAGGGAUGGUUUGAGGACUGGCCUCUCCGGAGGCAUCUGAUGCGAAGAUCCUGGCGGGAGUGAACAGCAGGAGGCUCAGGAUGGGCAGACACUCCCAGACUGGCUGGUAAGGCAGCAUUCAAAAAGAAUCAGGGAAGCUGGAGCUGCAGCCCUGCACGUCCGCAUCAGACUUGGAGCUCGCCCCGCUGCCCGCCAACACCUGCUUCAAUGACUAGCGAAGGUGCCAGGGAAAUUAUGAAAAACAUGUGACAGGUCAACCUGGCACUGGCCAUCCAGCAUCUGCUCCCACAUCUCCAUGACUCUGAGUCCACC